UACGUAGGUGACAAGCGUUGUCCGGAUUUACUGGGCGUAAAGAGCGCGCAGGCGGUCGUUUCAAGUCGAGUGUGAAAGCCCCCGGCUCAACUGGGGAGGGUCAUUCGAUACUGAUCGACUCGAAGGCAGGAGAGGGAAGUGGAAUUCCCGGUGUAGUGGUGAAAUGCGUAGAUAUCGGGAGGAACACCAGUGGCGAAGGCGGCUUUCUGGCCUGUUCUUGACGCUGAGGCGGCGAAA
rnacentral:rRNA from 1 species